GCGGCUAUAGCUCAAUGGAUAGAGUGUCGCUCUCCGAAGGCGAAGAUGGCGGUUCAAUUCCACCUAGCCGCA
rnacentral:tRNA from 1 species